CGGGCCCGCACAAGCAGCGGAGCGUGUGGUUUAAUUCGAUGCUACACGAAGAACCUUACCAGGGUUUGACAUACAGUAGUAGGGAAAGGAAACUGGACCGACCCUUCGGGGAGCUUGUACAGGUGCUGCAUGGCUGUCGUCAGCUCGUGUCGUGAGAUGUUCGGUUAAGUCCGCUAACGAGCGCAACCCUCGCUGUGUGUUACAAGUGUCACACGGAACUGCCGGUCAUAAACCGGAGGAAGUGGGAUGACGUCAAGUCAGCAUGGCCUUUAUAUCCUGGGCUACACACACGCUACAAUGGGAAAGGACAAUAGGUAGCGAAACCGCGAGGUGGAGCCAAUCCAGCAAAAUUUCCCUCAGUUCAGAUUGCAGGCUGCAACUCGCCUGCAUGAAGUUGGAGUUGCUAGUAAACGCAGGUCAGCCAUACUGCGUUGAAUACGUUCCCGGGGCUU
rnacentral:rRNA from 1 species